ACACACAGAGCGGGAACGGAAGGUUAUGGGAUGCUUUUAUUAGAACGUCCCAGCGUCCUUUGCUCCAGUUUUUAAAGCCCCGAUGGAGCAGAAGAUCUGCUUUUAAAGAAAAGGCCUCGUUUUUACAGAAGUGCUUUGAUUGAACGCAGUACAACCUGCUGUGAGACUUUAUAGCACAGGAUCCUCAUCUGCACUCUACACAUGUGUGAAAUGUGCUUUUAUGGAAAUACUGACAGAAAUCCCAGCCGAGGCUCUGAAAACAGUGUGUCACGGCGGCCUUUUCCAGCUGUGGUCAUUACUUCCUCAGACGACGACUCAUUCAGCAACAGGAUCUCCAUUUUUACCCAUGUGACAUGUAGAGGAUGUGAGCUGUGAGACUGGGAGGAAGGAUCAGUCCACACAACAUCCUUAUGAAAAGAAAACAGGCUUGCUACCGUUCGAGCCGGGUUUCAGCCAUCUUUUAGUCUUUUUCCUCUGCAGACCCACGCCUUCCUUCCUUCCUGCACAUCACUCGCUUCUCAGGUUGCAGAGCUACAACCAUCCGUUUCUUUCCUUAUCCAUUUAUUUAUGAUGUCCUUUUAUUCAACACACCUCCCAGUUAUUUCAUUAAAUAUGUAUAUACUGUAUAUUACUUCACCAAACUACACAGCGCUUUAAAUGUUGGCGUUUGCGCCCAGCUCUCCAAGUUCACUAUCAAUACAUUUCCAAAACCAUUCAGUAUUUUAGUUUUGAGAUUCCUCUAAAAUCCAAUAAAUAAAUAAAUAAAUAAAAAUACGGACUGGCACCUUGUUGAGGAAUAUUUCCUUUCCUUCUACAGAGAAACUUCAGUUUUUCUAAAUACAAUUAUUAUGUAAGUAGUCUGUGAUUAAAACUUGCAGUCCUACAUGGUAUCACUGAAAAUUUCUCUCAAUUGACAUAAACGUACACGAACAUUAAUAUAUCAGUAUUAUAUUGAAUAAAUCUCUUAUCAGAGUGAACCAAGACGGGGAUCCAGACUAAAAACAUACUAUUUGUACGUAAAAGCGACUUAUUCAAC
ensembl:lncRNA